AUUUAACCUCAAAUCAGGUAGGACU
rnacentral:rRNA from 1 species